UUGAAACACCGGUUCUCGUACGAUCACUGAAGUUAAGCAACGUCGAGCUUUGUCAGUAACUAGUUGUGUGAUCGCUUGGGAAUACCACG